rnacentral:tRNA from 1 species
GUGGCUCUAGUAAAUUAUUACAUAGCUCUGUCAGUGCUAAAUUAUAGGCAAUACCUUUGCGCCACC